CCUACGGGAGGCAGCAGUGGGGAAUAUUGGACAAUGGGGGGAACCCUGACCCAGCCAUGCCGCGUGUGUGAAGAAGGCCCUCGGGUUGUAAAGCACUUUCAGUGAGGAAGAACGCCUGGUGGUUAAUACCCAUCAGGAAAGACAUCACUCACAGAAGAAGCACCGGCUAACUCCGUGCCAGCAGCCGCGGUAAUACGGAGGUGCGAGCGUUAAUCGGAAUUACUGGGCGUAAAGCGCGCGUAGGUGGCUUGAUAAGCCGGUUGUGAAAGCCCCGGGCUCAACCUGGGAACGGCAUCCGGAACUGUCAAGCUAGAGUGCAGGAGAGGAAGGUAGAAUUCCCGGUGUAGCGGUGAAAUGCGUAGAGAUCGGGAGGAAUACCAGUGGCGAAGGCGGCCUUCUGGACUGACACUGACGCUGAGGUGCGAAAGCGUGGGUAGCAAACAGGAUUAGAUACCCUAGUAGUC
rnacentral:rRNA from 1 species